CUGGCGGCGUGCCUAACACAUGCAAGUCGAACGGAGUAUAUGAUUUCGGUUAUAUCUUAGUGGCGAACGGGUGAGUAACGCGUGAGCAACCUGACUCUUAGAGGGGGAUAACACUCGGAAACGAGUGCUAAUACCGCAUAAGACCACGGCAUGGCAUCAUGACGAGGUCAAAGGAGCAAUCCGCUGAGAGAGGGGCUCGCGUCCCAUUAGAUAGAUGGCGGGGUAACGGCCCACCAUGUCAACGAUGGGUAGCCGAGCUGAGAGGCUGAUCGGCCACACUGGAACUGAGACACGGUCCAGACUCCUACGGGAGGCAGCAGUGGGGAAUAUUGGGCAAUGGGCGCAAGCCUGACCCAGCAACGCCGCGUGAGGGAAGAAGGCUUUCGGGUUGUAAACCUCUGUCCUUGGUGACGAAAAAAAUGACGGUAGCCAAGGAGGAAGCCCCGGCUAACUACGUGCCAGCAGCCGCGGUAAUACGUAGGGGGCGAGCGUUGUCCGGAAUUACUGGGCGUAAAGGGUGCGUAGGUGGCCUUUUAAGUUGGAUGUGAAAUACCCGGGCUUAACCUGGGGGGUGCAUCUAAUACUGGGAGGCUAGAGUGCAGGAGAGGAAAGCGGAAUUCCUAGUGUAGCGGUGAAAUGCGUAGAUAUUAGGAGGAACACCAGUGGCGAAGGCGGUCUUCUGGACUGUAACUGACACUGAGGCACGAAAGCGUGGGGAGCAAACAGGAUUAGAUACCCUGGUAGUCCACGCGGUAAACGAUGAAUACUAGGUGUAGGGGGUAUCAACUCCCCCUGUGCCGGA
rnacentral:rRNA from 1 species